CGAAAGGGGCGGUAAUACCAGAUAAUGUCCUUCGGGACCAAAGAUUUAUCGGCAUUGGAGCGGGCUAUCUCCUAUCAGCUUGUUGGUGAGGUAACGGCUCACCAAUGCAACGACGGGUAGCGGGACUGAGAGGUUGGCCCGCCACAUCGGGACUGAGACACUGCCCGGACCUCCACGGAGGGCUGCAGUAACGGAUAUUGGGCAAUGGGCGAAAGCCUGACCCAGCAAUGCCGCGUGCAGGAUGAAGCCCCUAGGGGUGUAAACUGCUGUCAGGGGUCAGAAAGCUGGUUUCGGCCAGUUGAUCAACCCCAGAGGAAGUCACGGCUAACUUCGUGCCAGCAGCCGCGGUAAUACGAAGGUGGCAAGCGUUAUUCGGAAUCAUUGGGCUUAAAGGGCACGCAGGCGGAACAGUGUGUGUUGUGUGAAAUCCCCCGGCUUAACCGGGGAAUUGCACAGCAAACUGCUGUUCUUGAGGCAGGUAGGGGUGCAUGGAACUCUUGGUGGAGCGGUGGAAUGCGUAGAUAUCAAGAGGAACGCCAGAGGUGAAGACGGUGCACUGGGCCUGUCCUGACGCUGAGGUGCGAAAGCGUGGGGAGCGAACGGGAUUAGAUACCCCGGUAGUCCACGCCGCAAACGAUGUCUACUAGGUCGUGGGUGUUCUGACACAUUCACGGCCGGAGCAAAAGUGUUUAGUAGNCCGCCUGGGGAGUACGGCCGCAAGGUUAAAACUCAAAUGAAUUGACGGGGGCUCACACAAGCGGUGGAGCAUGUGGAUUAAUUCGAAGCUACGCGCAGAACCUUACCUGGGUUUGACAUGCUUGUAUGCCUUCUCUGAAAGGAGUUAGGCUGCCUUCGGGUGAAACUUGCACAGGUGCUGCAUGGCUGUCGUCAGCUCGUGUCGUGAGAUGUCGGGUUAAGUCCUUUAACGAGCGAAACCCUUGCCGUUAGUUGCCAGCGAGUAAUGUCGGGGACUCUAACGGGACUGCCGGUGUUAAACCGGAGGAAGGUGGGGAUGACGUCAAGUCCUCAUGGCCUUUAUGCCCAGGGCUUCACACGUGCUACAAUGGCAAUUACAGAGCGACGCGAUACCGCGAGGUGGAGCAAAUCGCAAAAAAAUUGCCUCAGUUCGGAUUGCAGGCUGGCAAUUCGCAUGCAUGAAGUCGGAAUCGCUAGUAAUCGCGUAUCAGCA
rnacentral:rRNA from 1 species